rnacentral:rRNA from 1 species
GACGAACGCUGGCGGCGUGCUUAACACAUGCAAGUCGAACGAAGCCUGAUUACGGAUUCUUCGGAUGAAGUAUGAUAUGACUGAGUGGCGGACGGGGGAGUAACGCGUGCGUAACCUGCCCUUCAGAGGGGGAUAGCGUUUGGAAACGAACGGUAAUAACGCAUAAUGUAAUUUGACCGCAUGAUCGACAUACCAAAGAUUUAUCGCGGAAGGAUGGACUCGCGUCUGAGUAGGUAGUUGGUGGGGUAACGGCCGACCAAGCGGACGAUCAGAAACCGUACUGCUGGGGCGCGCGGCCAACUCGGGAGUGAGGCACGGGCCAGAAUCCUACGGGAGGGGGCAGAAGGGAAUAUUGCACAAAGGGCGCGAGCCUAAUGCAGCAACGCCGCGUGAAGGAAUACUGUUGUCGGAGUAAAAACUUCUGUUCUUAGGGAAGAAUAAUGACGGUAGCUAAGGAGCAAGCCACGGCUAACUACGUG